CUCAUAAAGUUGAGUUAAUCGUUGUGUUCGGUAGUUGUGUUGUUCUUCAAGUAGUGACAUUCCAUGAUUAGCUUGAGGGCUACAAUCUCCACGGUUGCAAUAUACUGCUAGUGGACAAUGUUACUUGUAAACUCUAACGGCCAAUCAUUUAUAUAGAAUAGAUAGAGCGCCACGGAUCGCGGAGACUGAUACCCAAUUUCCUUUUUAUCGUUUAGCUUGAAAUCUAUUUUUUAGAAUACACUUGAUGCAACUAAUGUCAGUGAACAUUGCUUUGUAGUUAUAUAUAACUAUAUAUAUAUAAUAUAAUCUUCAUGACAACUACUGUUUAUUAAACAUUUAUUUUUAUCAGACUUCAGUGACGUUGCCCGCUGGAUGUCGAGAAGAUUUCAGUCUUCUGUGUGGAUCCGCGCAAUAUACUGCGCAGGCGAUUGCCUGUGCGCUUGCCACACUUCUCUUCUAUAGCUUGGACGGGGCAGAUCCUAAGCCAAGGACUGAUUACAUUGGAUGCGCUAUAGCCUACCAAAUCCAUGCAACCUUCACGUAUGGAACAUGGACGACAACCUCAACUUGGGCUUAAACCGACAUAGUGUGGCUCCAGAGCCCAAAAUACAUCCGGAAUUAGCACCGAGUACAAGGUAUUGUCGUUGAAAGGUUUCAUACUGUAUUUUUAACCGAAUGCGGAACAGGUGCGGCCAUUGUCAUGAUGGCCGCCUGGUGAUGGGUGCUCAAGCGCCGAGACUGACGCCACAACAAAUUUCUAUGGCGCCGUUAUUGUACAGGUACGGGUACGGGUCUGUUUCUAUGGGAACGUAAAGAUCUGAUACACUCACAAGUCGUGUUCAACAUGAAGAUAAUGGCAGCUGACUCUAUCGUCAAGUGGUUAUAUCUUGUUUCAAAGCAGUCUCGUGGAACUAAAUGAGGAUCUCGGAGACGUGGAGCUUACUUGCACAAAUUGAGUUGCUCCAAGCGAUCGUGGGCCUGAAGAAAGGAAAGGAGCUAGUUCAAAGAAGUUCAUUGUUCACUCGAUUCUCUUACGGGCAAGGAGAAAAACUUCCAGGACGACAAGCAAGACACAAAACAGACUCUUGCGGAAGUAUUAGGUACACUAUUGGCAAGUAAAUCAGAUAACUGUUUCCCCGUUACAUUGUAUAUAUAUAAUGUGUGUCAUUCACCAGUGGGCUAUUGCCAUAUUUGGAGGAAAUUACACUGCGAAGGCGUGCCAAAUCCAGCCGUCAUCAACUAUUCUACACCGCUAAAUAUGACAGUUUUGAAAAAGUACGCCUAAACCAUAAUGUGUUAAGUCCGCAUUCAUUUGUUCAAAGGUGUACGCCAUUGUACUGUACUUUCAAUAGUUUAGAAAGCAAAUCAAGCUAAAUAGAAUAAUUACAGUUUCUUUAAAAAUUAUUAUAUAAAAAUAUUCUUUUAUAUACUUAUUAAUGAUGAUGAUGAUGACAGCAAUGAUUGUGCGAUCUUCAUAAUGUUGAACUAAAUUAAUAUAGAAUAAAAGGAUAUCCCUAACGAGACGAAAAUCCUGGAUGCUGUGUUAUAUUAGACUUGAGUAGAGAGCUUUGAUGUUGUUGGAAAUCAAUAGAAAAUGCUCGCCUGGGUGAACUAGGACGCGUCAUUCGUUUGCUGUACCAAGGAAAGCAACCACACCCAAAAUAAAGCUAUGACAUUUUUGAUCUCGCCAAAAGCUUAAAAAUCAAGGCGGAGAAAUCAACAAUAAAAAAAUUUCUGAUGUUAGUUGCA